GCCUACGGGGCGCAGCAGUGAGGAAUAUUGGUCAAUGGGCUUACGCCUGAACCAGCCAAGUCGCGUGAGGGAAGACUGCCCUAUGGGUUGUAAACCUCUUUUGUCAGGGAGCAGUUGGCGCUACGUGUAGCGUUAUCGAGAGUACCUGAAGAAAAAGCAUCGGCUAACUCCGUGCCAGCAGCCGCGGUAAUACGGAGGAUGCGAGCGUUAUCCGGAUUUAUUGGGUUUAAAGGGAGCGUAGGUGGAUUGUUAAGUCAGUUGUGAAAGUUUGCGGCUCAACCGUAAAAUUGCAGUUGAAACUGGCA
rnacentral:rRNA from 1 species